rnacentral:rRNA from 1 species
UACAGAGGUCUCAAGCGUUGUUCGGAUUCAUUGGGCGUAAAGGGUGCGUAGGUGGCGGGGUAAGUCAGGUGUGAAAUCUCGGGGCUCAACCCCGAAACUGCACUUGAUACUGCCUUGCUCGAGUACUGGAGAGGAGACUGGAAUUUACGGUGUAGCAGUGAAAUGCGUAGAUAUCGUAAGGAAGACCAGUGGCGAAGGCGGGUCUCUGGACAGUUCCUGACACUGAGGCACGAAGGCCAGGGGAGCAAACGGG